GGGGAAUAUUGGACAAUGGGCGCAAGCCUGAUCCAGCCAUACCGCGUGGGUGAAGAAGGCCUUCGGGUUGUAAAGCCCUUUUGUUGGGAAAGAAAAGCAUUCGGUUAAUACCCGGGUGUUCUGACGGUACCCAAAGAAUAAGCACCGGCUAACUUCGUGCCAGCAGCCGCGGUAAUACGAAGGGUGCAAGCGUUACUCGGAAUUACUGGGCGUAAAGCGUGCGUAGGUGGUUGUUUAAGUCCGUUGUGAAAGCCCUGGGCUCAACCUGGGAAUUGCAGUGGAUACUGGGCAACUAGAGUGUGGUAGAGGAUAGUGGAAUUUCCGGUGUAGCAGUGAAAUGCGUAGAGAUCGGAAGGAACAUCUGUGGCGAAGGCGACUAUCUGGGCCAACACUGACACUGAGGCACGAAAGCGUGGGGAGCAAAC
rnacentral:rRNA from 1 species